rnacentral:rRNA from 1 species
AUUGAACGCUGGCGGAAUGCUUUACACAUGCAAGUCGAACGGCAGCACGGACUUCGGUCUGGUGGCGAGUGGCGAACGGGUGAGUAACAUAUCGGAACGUAUCCAAUAAUGGGGGAUAACGAGUCGAAAGAUUCGCUAAUACCGCAUACGCCCUACGGGGGAAAGCUGGGGACCUUCGGGCCCGGCGUUAGUGGAGCGGCGGAUAUCUGAUUAGCUAGUUGGUGAGGUAAAGGCUCACCAAGGCGACGAUCAGUAGCUGGUCUGAGAGGACGACCAGCCACACUGGAACUGAGACACGGUCCAGACUCCUACGGGAGGCAGCAGUGGGGAAUUUUGGACAAUGGGCGCAAGCCUGAUCCAGCCAUUCCGCGUGAGUGAAGAAGGCCUUCGGGUUGUAAAGCUCUUUCGCAAGGGAAGAAAACUUAGCCACUAACAUUGGUUGAGGUUGACGGUACCUUGAUAAGAAGCACCGGCUAACUACGUGCCAGCCGCCGCGGUAA